rnacentral:rRNA from 1 species
GAUGAACGCUGGCGGCGUGCCUAAUACAUGCAAGUCGAGCGAACAGACGAGGAGCUUGCUCCUCUGACGUUAGCGGCGGACGGGUGAGUAACACGUGGAUAACCUACCUAUAAGACUAGGAUAACUUCGGGAAACCGGAGCUAAUACCGGAUAAUAUAUUGAACCGCAUGGUUCAAUAGUGAAAGACGGUUUUGCUGUCACUUAUAGAUGGAUCCGCGCCGCAUUAGCUAGUUGGUAAGGUAACGGCUUACCAAGGCAACGAUGCGUAGCCGACCUGAGAGGGUGAUCGGCCACACUGGAACUGAGACACGGUCCAGACUCCUACGGGAGGCAGCAGUAGGGAAUCUUCCGCAAAGGGCGAAAGCUUGACGGAGCAACGCCGCGUGAGUGAUGAAGGUCUUCGGAUCGUAAAACUCUGUUAUUAGGGAAGAACAAAUGUGUAAGUAACUAUGCACGUCUUGACGGUACCUAAUCAGAAAGCCACGGCUAACUACGUG